rnacentral:tRNA from 1 species
GCUUGGAGAGCUCACAUGGUAGAGCUUGAGACUUUUAAUCUCAGGGUCAUGGGUUCAUACCCCACGUUGGGCA